rnacentral:lncRNA from 1 species
CUUGUGGCAGAAUGUCUCUCCCACAGACUACAGGCACCCCACACUUGAGCUUGACAUUUUGGAAGCUCAAAGAGCAACAGCCUGGCUGUAGAGCCUUCCCAUGCAAAAGAAUUGUUCUUGUCCGAUAGAUCUGACAAAGCAUUUCUGUGCUUUCACUUCAGGCUUAGACCCUUGCUGAUUGUAUUUCCUAAGUCCCUGUCCUCUGCCGCCAGCUGCCCUUGCCCCUCCUCCCUUCCCUCCCUUGAACUUGAGCGCUCUGGUUCAGAGAACAUUGGCCUUGCCUCUGCGUGCUCUCUCUGUUGGCUGGCCCUCUAAGCCCUGCGUGCUCAGUUUAGGCUUUGCCUUUCUAGCUGCUCCCUCAUCCGGUCCCUCUCCUGCCUCCUUCCCUCCCUCCCCUGUGUCUUGACUGUGGUGCUCAGCACACCAAGCUGAAAUUCUUGGUCCACGUGAUUCUCCCCCACAUACAGCCACAAGUUUCUUCUGGGCAGAAACUGUCUUGUUCAUCUGUGAAUCACCAGGUCCCAGGGCGAUGCUCACCACAGAGCUGGUGCAUGGGGCCAACUGUUAGAAGCUUGCUGAAUGAAUAAAGGAACCCACAAAUGGAAAGGACCAACUCCACAGGCCUCAACACAGACAUGCACCACCUUCCCAUCUCAUUCCUCCUGUGCUGAAGUCGUCACAGAGGACGGGCGACAGGACCCCUGUCUUGCAGUACAUGUUAGAAGGCUCUUGGGCCUGUGUGAUGCCUCAGCCUGUAAAGUUGCUUGCUGCCAAGCUUGAGGGACCCACAUAACGGGAGGAGAGAAUCGGCUCCCACAAAAUGUUCUGUGACCUCCACAACUUCAUUGGGGGCAUGCAUCCUCCAUACAUAGAAUAAAUUAAAAUGCAAUUUUUAAAAAGAAGGCUCU